rnacentral:lncRNA from 1 species
GGGUUUUCACGUAAAAAUCCGUGUCUCUCGUGUCUCGUUUUAUUUUCGUUAUUAUCUAACAGACCAAAGAACCAAAAAUAUCAUCCUGGAUUCCAAAUGAUCUACCUUUUUAAGGGAAAAUGUCCGGCUCUUGUAUAUAGCAAUAACCCUAAGGUACAAUCAUAGAAUCAUUAGACUCUAGCAGCCAAAUAUGCCUACCAUUAUAUAAUAAAUAAACAAAGGAUCUAGCUGAUGAGUUUCGUUGUUUGACGUACGUCCUUCUGCACACAAAUAUACGUCGUCUCCAGAAACUGCUCUUUCCUCAGUGAGAUUUCAUAUAGAAACGAGUUGUACUGGCAUAACUCCCAAAGUUGAUAUCCCUCACCACAUUCACUGCAUCAGAGGCCAUUCUAAUCAACGUUGAGCAAGCACCCAAACCUCACAGCAGGCUAUGCCUUCCACUAUAUCAGGAUCCAUCACACCACACCUCCCAACUUCCCGAGAUAUUGCCGGUACCGCUCCUUGGCCGAGGUUCUUCACCACGGCCCCGUCCAGAUUGAUUUAAUCAUUCCCUCGGGUGAUGGUAACCACUUCGCCAUUUUAUUAUUGUGUGAUCUUGCCACUUUUUCAGCCUUGGUUAAAGCAGAAGAAUAGCAUCAAUGUAGCUCUGAACGAAGGUGAUCGGCUCUGAUAAAUAUUCUCGUCAACACAAUGGAAUCAAGAGUACCUAGAACCCAGCGGAAGUAAUAUCGAAUCGAGGGG